ACAAAAAUAUUUGACCCAGGCAGGGCUCGAACCUGCAAUCUUCUGAUUAGAAGUCAGACGCCUUAUCCAUUAGGCCACAAGGCCACGAUG
ensembl:ncRNA Y92H12A.8 ncRNA